GACCACCCUCAGUUAGGUCCUACUCAUAAGUCCUACCUGUAUACAGAGACCACCCUUAGUUAGGUCCUACUCAUAAGUCCUACCUGUAUACAGAGACCACCCUCAGUUAGGUCCUUCUCAUUAGUCCUACCUGUAUACAGAGACCACCCUCAGUUAGGUCCUAUACAUAAGUCCUACCUGUAUACAAAGACCACCCUCAGGUAUUCAAUCUUGCAGGACUGACAGUAUUUAUUUUUUAUAAACAUGUAUUCAAAGUUCUAUUGUUACCACACACAAAAAAUGCAAAUUCAAAUAAAAAGAAAUGUUUUGUAAUAUGUGGUAUUGUAUAUAAUAAUCUUUUCAAUGUGUAUACCUAACUCAAUUGUUUUAAACAAGUACGUGAGACAUUACCUGUAGUUCUAUUAACUAUAAGUCCUGUACGUUUCUUACCACCUUGUGUGCCAAUCAGUGUCAUAUGUUCCUCCUUAAAGAUAUGUGUUCCUACACAAAAUGACCUCAUUUUCAAUGAUAAAACUUUGUUUAUUCAAGUUCAUAGAAUAAUGCAUGUAUCCAUAUAAUAUUAAUGUAACAGAUAUAUUGUAAAAUAUAUUCUGACUUUUUAAGUGACAUAAAUAUUCUAUUUUAAUCAAGGUUUUCUUUUAUCAGAAUAAAGGUGCUUAUGUAUUGUUCCAGUGUUAUUUUAAUUAUUGGUAGUACGAGGUAUUUGUUUUCAAGAGUUAUUAUUAUGAAACAUUAUUGCAGAGACCACUUGUGAUGCAUGUUGUGUACCCACAUGGAGCACUUGGUGUAGUAUCAAUUUCCGAGAAAUUCUCAAUCGGUUGAUAAUCGAUUUUUGUCUCGCCUGCGACGGACGUUACUUUAUCGGCAGCGGGGGCGUCAACAUUAAGUUUUUGCGUUUAGCUCUGUUUCCCAAAAAGUAUAAGUGCUAGACUAACCAAACUUGGACUAUAUGUCUUAUAUACUUCAUCUUAAUCCAUGUCUUAUAUACUUCAUCUUAAUCCAUGUCUUAUAUACUUCAUCUUAAUCCAUGUCUUAUAUACUUCAUCUUAAUCCAUGUCUUAUAUACUUCAUCUUAAUCCAUGUCUUAUAUACUUCAUCUUAAUCCAUGUCUUAUAUACUUCAUCUUAAUCCAUGUCUUAUAUACUUCAUCUUAAUCCAUGUCUUAUAUACUUCAUCUUAAUCCAUGUCUUAUAUACUUCAUCUUAAUCCAUGUCUUAUAUACUUCAUCUUAAUCCAUGUCUUAUAUACUUCAUCUUAAUCCAUGUCUUAUAUACUUCAUCUUAAUCCAUGUCUUAUAUACUUCAUCUUAAUCCAUGUCUUAUAUACUUCAUCUUAAUCCAUGCAUCAGUUGCUGAAUGUGCCCUGCAUUUCGCGGUCCAGUGACUUUGACAGCAUCUUCAUUGAUGUUAAGUUUUUGCGUUUAGCUGUGUUUCUCAAAAAGUACAAGUCCUAGACCAACCAAACUUGGACCAUAGAUGCGUCUUAUAUUCAUAACUCAUGGAUUAUAAACUAUGCAUGAUAUAAUGAAUGUGGCCUACAUUUCACGGUCCAGUGACUUUCAGUCAAAUUUGGUAUGUACAUGUAUUUUUGCACUGCAAACUCAACCAUGACAUUCAUUGUAUUAUUUGACAAAAUGGCCACUGUAUAUUGGCGUCUGAUUGGUUAAAUUUCAGUUAUUGUUUGAUUUCGUUAAAAAACAUUAUGUAAGUGUAUUUUCGCACUGUGAACUAACCGCGCCAUCUGUUUUCUGAACUGACAAGAUGGUCGUUGUAUACUGGCCCCUGCAUGAUUGGUCGAAAUUCACAUAUAUUUUAAUUUCGCUCAAAUUUGGUAUGUACCUGUAUUAUGGCACUGUGAAAUCCGUUCUCCUAUUUACAUUUGCUUUUCCGAAUGCAGGGGUAGUUUGGGGGACAUCUGUAAUGGCCGGCUCCCAUUACAAUUAGCACUUGUGCCUUUUAUGCCUCCAUGUUGAUGUAUUGCCAAACUUGUUUAUAAAAUGUAAAAUUCCGACCUUUGACUCAAACUUAUAAUGCUUGACACAUUGAAUCUUAUUGCUCAAAGCGGGGACAGGCGAGACAGCUUAUUACGCGUAAUUCUUGUUUUAAAGGGAGAUAACUUUAACAAUAUCACCCAUCACAAGUAUAUUGUAUAAGGUACAUGUAGCAAGCAGACUUAAUAAGAUCAGUUUGAACCAGAAGAUAUUAAGUGUUGAAAUAAAUACCAACAUAUAUGUGUUACUUAUGAUCGUUUCUUAGAAGGUGGGUUUAAUUGGGAGGCUACAAUACAAGGCAAUACACGUCUGUACCAGUUGAUGAUUUUUCUUCAUGGAUGUUGACUCCAAGUUAUGAUAAAGUCAAAACACAAGUUUGGUUAUUUUUUCAUGUCACUGUACAAAUGUGAGUAAGUGAUGGAUUUUGGGAAACUGGGGGGGGACCUAUUCUGCUGUCAUGUUCCUUAAUGUUCUACAGUGCUAAUGAUAAAUAUUUUAGAAAGUUGGUAUAUUGGAGGCAUUGAAGAUAUGUCCAAUGUUUAAAUUAAAACCGGCUAUAAUUAAUGAAAAUGUAAGAAAAUCAGCAUAGCAUGGAAGAUAAGAGUUUGAAUAAUUUGAUUUCUAGAUCACUUUCUGUUAGGCUGUUACGUUGUUAAGUUUGUUGGAUCAGAGUGUUGUAUAGAUAUGUUACACAAUGGAAAAUAAUGACACUCAUUGGUGAGGAAAAGUGCACUGAAUUUUCUUUAUUCUUCAUAUCUGUUUAUAUCAGAUAACUGAUAAGUGUACAUCAACAUAAUGUCCAAACUGAAAGUCUGAAAUGUACAUGUUGUGUAUUCACAUCCAGUCCCCUUGGCUCUGAAGGGGUUUUAUACACUAGUACUGAGUUGGUCGUGAUCAAAUAUGUAUUAUUUCCUCCAAAUUAAAAGAUUACGUUUAUUUCUUGUGAAAUAUUGGGGUUUUAGAUUGUAUCAAGUGUGAUUGGGACAUAUUUGUUGUUCAGUUAAUGCUGAAGGAUGUAUUUCGAUAAAUCUAUAUACUUGUGAUUACUUGUCAUAAACUAUUCUCAGUCAGCUAUGCAUGUAUUAUUAAGGCUUAUUGUGUAAAAAUAGUAUGAGUUUGUCAAACCACCAAGAAUAGUCAAGAAUUGAAUGCCAUAAAUAAAUAGUUACAAUAUA